rnacentral:rRNA from 1 species
AGCGAACGCUGGCGGCAGGCUUAACACAUGCAAGUCGAGCGGGCGUAGCAAUACGUCAGCGGCAGACGGGUGAGUAACGCGUGGGAACGUGCCCUUUGGUUCGGAACAACACAGGGAAACUUGUGCUAAUACCGGAUAAGCCCUUACGGGGAAAGAUUUAUCGCCGAAGGAUCGGCCCGCGUCUGAUUAGCUUGUUGGUGAGGUAACGGCUCACCAAGGCUACGAUCAGUAGCUGGUCUGAGAGGAUGAUCAGCCACACUGGGACUGAGACACGGCCCAGACUCCUACGGGAGGCAGCAGUGGGGAAUAUUGGACAAUGGGGGCAACCCUGAUCCAGCCAUGCCGCGUGAGUGAUGAAGGCCCUAGGGUUGUAAAGCUCUUUCGGCGGGGAAGAUAAUGACGGUACCCGCAUAAGAAGCCCCGGCUAACUUCGUGCCAGCAGCCGCCGUAACAC